UCCAACGACCGCCCUCAUCCCCCUGACCCUCUCAUCCAACCCACAGCCUCGCACUCCUCCUCCCUCGUCCACAACUCGACAUCUCUCUCCCGAACAACUCUUCUCAUCGCCGCCACCAUCAACGACGCUCGAUCCACGCGACCUACCGGCCGGAAUCGAUGGUGCCACGCACACCACAUGGAUCCCCUCACUCUGCUACUCCCUCCUAUCAUGGGAGAUCCAGCACGCGUGUCCUCCAAUGCUAUCCGCGACCGUCUCUUGUUACUAGGGUUUCGGUAGGAUUGGCCCCGGUGACUCAGUACGGCGGAGGCGCGCAGGGUUGACCAAUCCACGGGGGCGCCGGAUCUAGCUUAUGUGUCACCAGAUCCCCCCCCCCUCCCCUCGGUUUCUCUCCCUCACGCUCUUUCUUUCUAUCUGCAGGAACCUCUAGACGUGAUGGUCGAGCCUCAUAGGAGCGUGGAGAUAACUGACGGAAAGUGUUGCCCAGACCGUAUCCAGUUUGUGGAAUGAAUUCACAAGGACGUACUUCUGCUUACCAAUAUUUUAUUUUCUCUUUGCAGAUCCUUAGUUACAUCAUCUAGUUUUCAAUCCAUGCAUCUCUCAAAAAGGAAUUUCCCUGUGUAGAUUAUUGUUUUAUGAGUUUUACUACAAUGUAACUUUUAUACUAUUUGGCUAUGUUCAGUUAUUAGGAAACUUUUAGGAUCUGCACAUGAAGUAACAGAAACCUGUGCAGAUAAUGAACAUAAUCUUUUAGAUUAGUGCUACUUAUUCUAAGUGUAAAGGAUGCUGAGUUAACUUGGUAUUUUUAACAAAUACGGUUCAACAACAAGCUAUAUUAAAUAACAAUCCAGAUUAAAACAUUUUAACAGAUAGACUAUUUAAUAAAAUCUGCUCGCCUGCUAUUUAUAUACAUAACUAUUGGACAGUGGCAAGACUUCCAUUGUGUGUCUGAAUCGUGCACUAAUGUUUUUCUUCUAUUUAUAUACAUAACCAUUGGACAGUGAGAAGAUUUCCAUUGUGUGCAUGAACGUCCCUUUUUCUAUCAAUCCAUCUCUUAUCAUGCAUACAUGCUAUCAUAUACUAUAUGAUAAAUCUUUUAGAUGCUCACUGUAUAUAUAGGUGCUCAAAUUUUGAUUACAUGGAGCUUCUGUUUAUAGUGAAAAAAGGGUAUGUGCAGUUUUUAGUCAAUGUCUAUUUAAAUCAAUAGAAUUAGCAGGUUAACCCGCUAGAUUUUUUCUGAAAAUCAGUAAACAUAUGUUUUUUAUAGAUGUUUAAAACAUGGAUUUGCUCCCACAUGUGUUUGACACAAUAUAUGUAGUAUCUGUCAUACCUGAUGCGGUAUAAUACAAAUAAAUAUAUAGGUAAUAUAUGCACUUUAUAGAAAAUAAAUAGAUGUUAUAUACUACUACCGAAUGAUUUUAUCCAAAUGUUGUUGGUUCGUGCAUACCUAAAUGUCAUGUUUUCUUACGCCACCCAUCUUAUUUGAGUUAUUAGAUUUACAUUAUUGGAUUUUGGAGAAAAUUUGAUGCAUCAAAAUGCUUAGGUUACUCCCAGUCUCUCCUCAUAUCGAGGUUGAAGUAUUAGGUAAUACCAUUGUUUAGCACAUAACUUAUUACAUUAUGAAUUUUGGUGUGGCUUUCGAUUUUAUUUUUGUGGACAUUAUUUUUACACAUGCAGUCAUACCACCUUUCCGUUAUCUACCUCUGAUUAUACCUACUAGCGGUCAUAUCCUUCACAUGGUACAAAUCCUGAUACACUUUAUAGUAUUUUUGUUAUAAUUACUUUCAUGUAAAUCCAAACUAUUAUAGUUACUGAAAUUAAUUGGACAUUUAUUUAAGCCAUUUAACAAAGCGGAGCUCCAUUUGCUAGGGUUCGCAGGUCAUGAGAUGAGGUAAACUAACUUGUAAUAAGGCGUCUAGAGAAGUGCAUGAGGUGCGGUUCGCCUUAGGCUCCUCCCACUCGUCGACGGUCUGGUCCAGCAUCACUUAACCGUUGUGACCUGGCCGGUUUGGUUCAGCUUUGAGCUGCCCACCGCGGAGUGGGAGGACGGCAUGGUCAUGAACAUCGAGGUCGGAUCAAGUAUGAUGGUGCACCGCGGCAUGUGGUGGCUUUUUUUUGUAGUGGUACUGUAUAUGGUCUCAUCCAACAUUGAGUAUCCAUAUGUUGUUUUAAUACUGAUGAUAAUGUUGUAGCAUAAAGUAGACACCAUAUCUGGUUUGUCUUGAUGUUUUAACUAUGGUGGUUCUUGUUUGAUGCACAUUAUUCUUUGCAGGGUUAUGAUGAUAGAAAUAUAUUGACCCUGAUGUGACAAAGGUGCCCAUUUUCCCUUAAACAUUUUCACUCUUCUUUAUGUUCUUUGUGUAGUUCCAGUUUCACACUGCUGGUGUUUCAUGCGAUAUCCAUCGCAUCCUGCUCACAUGCCUUAUGAUCGAGUAACUUGAUUAGUAUUUGUCCCACUAUCCAUCUUAGUAAACUGUUUAUUUUUUCAGUAGCUUAAAAAGAAAGUAAAUCUAGAAUUUCAGUGCCUCACAGAAGUUACUAUGUAUCCUACUUUAGAUUGCAAACCUGAUGCUGUGUUGGUUGUUCUCAUUUCUUAAGUUUGAAAUGUUUCAUACUCCUGUGUGCCACCAUCCUCGACUACAUAUGUAUGCACCUUAGUAAUAAAUACAUUUGUCUUGUAAAUAUCAUUGGAAGUAUAUCCGCCUCCAUAUGUUCUUUUCAGCAUUAAAUUUUGUUAGUUGUUACUGACAUUCUCACUAUAGAAUGUCCAUCGAGGACAUUUCUUAGAAAUGUCGGUCUUGAGUCAACUCUAAGAAGAAAUUCAACAGAUCUGCAACUGCUUUGGAUGCUCAUGUACAAGAUACUAAAUUAUUUUUUGUGUUAUUUUGGUUGGUACUAUCUUAUAAACAUGUGGUGUAAUGAUACUGGUGGGACAAAGUUGAUGAAAAACUAGUUGUUUGUUCAUUCUGCUGUAUUAUUUUGAGAUCAUGUGGUGUAAUGAUAUUGUUGUGUUAUUUUGAGAAUUAUAUUAUUAUCAUUAUAUUCUCA